rnacentral:rRNA from 1 species
UGAUCAGGGCUUGCUCUGAUCGUUAGUGGCGGACGGCUGAGUAACGCGUAGGUGACCUGCCCCGAAGUGGGGAAUAACUGCCCGAAAGGGUGGCUAAUACCGCAUGUGGUGAUGCCUUCACUGGCAUCAGUAAAGCCGCAAGGCGCUUCGGGAGGGGCCUGCGUCCGAUUAGCUCGUUGGUGGGGUAACGGCUCACCAAGGCGACGAUCGGUAGGUGGUCUGAGAGGACGAUCACCCAGACUGGGACUGAGACACGGCCCAGACUCCNUACGGGAGGCAGCAGUCNGGGAAUUUNGCGCAAUGGACGAAAGUCUGACGCAGCAACGCCGCGUGAGGGAUGACGGCCUUCGGGUUGUAAACCUCUUUUGUCAGGGACGAUGAUGACGGUACCUGACGAAUAAGUCACGGCUAACUACGUGCCAGCAGCCGCGGUAAUACGUAGGUGACAAGCGUUGUCCGGAUUUACUGGGCGUAAAGAGCGCGCAGGCGGUCGUUCAAGUCGAGUGUGAAAGCCCCCGGCUCAACUGGGGAGGGUCACUCGAUACUGAUCGACUCGAAGGCAGGAGAGGGAAGUGGAAUUCCCGGUGUAGUGGUGAAAUGCGUAGAUAUCGGGAGGAACACCAGUGGCGAAGGCGACUUCCUGGCCUGUUCUUGACGCUGAGGCGCGAAAGCUAGGGGAGCAAACGGGAUUAGAUACCCCGGUAGUCCUAGCCGUAAACGAUGGACACUAGGUGUUGGUGGUAUCAACCCCGCCAGUGCCGAAGCUAACGCAUUAAGUGUCCCGCCUGGGGAGUACGGCCGCAAGGCUAAAACUCAAAGGAAUUGACNGGGGCCCGCACAAGCAGCGGAGCGUGGGGUUUAAUUCGACGCAACGCGAAGAACCUUACCAGGGCUUGACAUGACCAGGAUCCCGGCGGAAACGUCGGUUCCCCGCAAGGGGCCUGGCCACAGGUGUUGCAUGGCUGUCGUCAGCUCGUGUCGUGAGAUGUUGGGUUAAGUCCCGCAACGAGCGCAACCCCUACUGUGUGUUGUAUCACUCACACGGGACUGCCGAGAGAAACUCGGAGGAAGGUGGGGAUGAAGUCAAGUCAGCAUGGCCCUUACGUCCUGGGCUACACCCACGCUACAAUGGCCGGUACAACGGGCGGCGAAACCGCGAGGUGGAGCGAAUCCCUUAAAGCCGGCCUCAGUUCGGAUUGUAGGCUGCAACUCGCCUACAUGAAGCCGGAGUUGCUAGUAACCGCCG